UACGUAGGGGGCAAGCGUUGUCCGGAAUCAUUGGGCGUAAAGAGCGCGUAGGCGGUUCGGUAAGUCCGCUCUGAAAGUCCGGGGCUCAACCCCGGGAGGCGGGCGGAUACUGUCGGGCUAGAGUACGGAAGAGGCGAGUGGAAUUCCUGGUGUAGCGGUGAAAUGCGCAGAUAUCAGGAAGAACACCAAUGGCGAAAGCAGCUCUCUGGGACGGUACUGACGCUGAGACGCGAAAGCGUGGGGAGCGAACAGG
rnacentral:rRNA from 1 species